rnacentral:rRNA from 1 species
UACGGAGGGUGCAAGCGUUAUCCGGAUUCACUGGGUUUAAAGGGUGCGUAGGUGGGCAGGUAAGUCAGUGGUGAAAUCCCCGAGCUUAACUUGGGAACUGCCGUUGAUACUAUCUGUCUUGAAUGUUGUGGAGGUGAGCGGAAUAUGUCAUGUAGCGGUGAAAUGCUUAGAUAUGACAUAGAACACCAAUUGCGAAGGCAGCUCGCUACACAAUUAUUGACUCUGAUGCACGAAAGCGUGGGGAUCAAACAGG